rnacentral:misc_RNA from 1 species
CCCUAGCCCCAUUUCCUUCUCCCAAUCUCAGUUCUCGAUGGCGCCCAAGGCCGAGAAGAAGCCCGCCGCCAAGAAGCCAGCGGCGACGCCGCCCCCAGAGGAGGAGAAGGAGGCGGUGCCCCCACCGGCGGAGAAGAAGCCGGCAGAGAAGAAGCCCAAGGCCGGCAAGAAGCUGCCGGCAGCCAAGGAGGGCGAUGCGAAGAAGAAAAAGAAGGCGAAGAAGUCGAUUGAGACCUAUAAGAUCUAUAUCUUCAAGGUUCUCAAGCAGGUCCACCCCGACAUCGGCAUCUCCAGCAAGGCGAUGGGUAUCAUGAACAGCUUCAUCAAUGACAUCUUUGAGAAGCUCGCCCAGGAGUCCGCUCGCCUCGCCCGCUACAAUAAGAAGCCCACCAUCACCUCCCGUGAGAUUCAGA